rnacentral:rRNA from 1 species
UACGGGGGGAGCAAGCGUUGUUCGGAUUUACUGGGCGUAAAGGGCGCGUAGGCGGCCCGCUACGUCGAACGUGAAAUCCCCAGGCUCAACCUGGGAACUGCGUCCGAUACUGGCAGGCUUGAAUCCGGGAGAGGGAUGUGGAAUUCCAGGUGUAGCGGUGAAAUGCGUAGAUAUCUGGAGGAACACCGGUGGCGAAGGCGGCAUCCUGGACCGGUAUUGACGCUGAGGCGCGAAAGCUAGGGUAGCAAACGGG